UACGUAGGGGGCAAGCGUUGUCCGGAUUUAUUGGGCGUAAAGAGCUCGUAGGUGGCUCGGUAAGUCGGGUGUGAAAUUUCGAGGCUCAACCUCGAGACGCCACCUGAUACUGCUGUGGCUAGAGUCCGGUAGGGGAGCGUGGAAUUCCUGGUGUAGCGGUGAAAUGCGCAGAUAUCAGGAGGAAUACCGGUGGCGAAAGCGACUCUCUGGACGGCAACUGACGCUGAGGCACGAAAGCGUGGGGAUCAAACAGG
rnacentral:rRNA from 1 species